CUACGGGCCGCACCAGUGGGGAAUAUUGCACAAUGGGCGCAAGCCUGAUGCAGCCAUGCCGCGUGUAUGAAGAAGGCCUUCGGGUUGUAAAGUACUUUCAGCGGGGAGGAAGGGAGUAAAGUUAAUACCUUUGCUCAUUGACGUUACCCGCAGAAGAAGCACCGGCUAACUCCGUGCCAGCAGCCGCGGUAAUACGGGAGGGUGCAAGCGUUAAUCGGAAUUACUGGGCGUAAAGCGCACGCAGGCGGUUUGUUAAGUCAGAUGUGAAAUCCCCGGGCUCAACCUGGGAACUGCAUCUGAUACUGGCAAGCUUGAGUCUCGUAGAGGGGGGUAGAAUUCCAGGUGUAGCGGUGAAAUGCGUAGAGAUCUGGAGGAAUACCGGUGGCGAAGGCGGCCCCCUGGACGAAGACUGACGCUCAGGUGCGAAAGCGUGGGGAGCAAACAGGAUUAGAUACCCGAGUAGUC
rnacentral:rRNA from 1 species